rnacentral:rRNA from 1 species
AACAAACGCUGGCGGCGUGCCUAAUACAUGCAAGUCGAACGGGGAAAGCUUUCGGGUGAGUACUAGUGGCGCACGGGUGAGUAACGCGUGGAUAAUCUGCCCUCGAAUGGGGAAUAACUAGUCGAAAGAUUAGCUAAUACCGCAUAAGACACGACUACUGAGGUAGUUGGGGUCAAAGGAGCAAUUCGUCUGAGGAUGAGUCCGCGUAAGAUUAGCUAGUUGGUGAGGUAAUGGCUCACCAAGGCGAUGAUCUUUAACUGGUCUGAGAGGAUGAUCAGUCACACUGGAACUGAGACACGGUCCAGACUCCUACGGGAGGCAGCAGUAGGGAAUAUUGGACAAUGGGGGCAACCCUGAUCCAGCGACGCCGCGUGAGCGAUGAAGGCCUUCGGGUCGUAAAGCUCUGUUGUAAGGGAAAAAGUUCAGAUUGUACCUUACGAGAAAGGAUCGGCUAACUUCGUGCCAGCCGCCGCGGUAA